AACGAACGCUGGCGGUGUGGAUAAGACAUGCAAGUCGAACGCUUGUUAGAGGGUAGCAAUAUUCUGUAGCAGGAGUGGCGGAAGGGUGCGUAACAUGUGGGUAAUCUGCCGUGAAGGCUGGGAUAACUUGCUGAAAGGCGAGCUAAUACCGGAUGAGAUAACUAAGAGGCAGCUUUUGGUUAUGAAAGUUGGGACUGUAAAAGGCCUGACGCUUCAUGANGAGCCCGCAACCUAUCAGCUAGUUGGUGAGGUAAAGCUCACCAAGGCUAAGGACGGGUAGCUGGUCUGAGAGGAUGAUCAGCCAC
rnacentral:rRNA from 1 species